rnacentral:rRNA from 1 species
AUUGAACGCUGGCGGCAGGCCUAACACAUGCAAGUCGAGCGGAUGAAGGGAGCUUGCUCCUGGAUUCAGCGGCGGACGGGUGAGUAAUGCCUAGGAAUCUGCCUGGUAGUGGGGGAUAACGUCCGGAAACGGGCGCUAAUACCGCAUACGUCCUGAGGGAGAAAGUGGGGGAUCUUCGGACCUCACGCUAUCAGAUGAGCCUAGGUCGGAUUAGCUAGUUGGUGGGGUAAAGGCCUACCAAGGCGACGAUCGGUAACUGGUCUGAGAGGAUGAUCAGUCACAUGGGAACUUAGACACGGUCAAGACUCCUAAGGGAGGCAGCAGUGGGGAAUAUUGGACAAUGGGCGAAAGCCUGAUCCAGCCAUGCCGCGUGUGUGAAGAAGGUCUUCGGAUUGUAAAGCACUUUAAGUUGGGAGGAAGGGCAGUAAGUUAAUACCUUGCUGUUUUGACGUUACCAACAGAAUAAGCACCGGCUAACUUCGUG